rnacentral:rRNA from 1 species
UACCAGCUCUCCGAGUGGUGUGGAUGUUUAUUGGGCCUAAAGCAUCCGUAGCUGGCCAAGCCAGUCCCCUGUUAAACCCACCGAAUUAAUCGUUGGAUUGCGGGGGAUACUGCUCGGCUAGGGGACGAGAGAGGCCGACGGUAUUCUCGGGGUAGGGGUGAAAUCCUAUAAUCCCGGGAAGACCACCAGUGGCGAAGGCUGUCGGCUAGAACGAGCCCGACGGUGAGGGAUGAAAGCUGGGGGAGCAAACCGGAUUAGAUACCCGGGUAGUCCCAGCUGUAAACGAUGCAGGCUAGGUGUUUGGACGGCCACGCGCCGUUCUAGUGCCGCAGGGAAGCUGUUAAGCCUGCCGCCUGGGGAGUACGAUCGCAAGAUUGAAACUUAAAGGAAUUGGCGGGGGAGCACCACAAGGGGUGAAGCUUGCGGUUUAAUUGGAGUCAACACCGGAAAUCUCACCGGGAGCGACAGCAGGUUGAAGGCCAGAUUAAAGGUCUUGCCAGACGAGCUGAGAGGAGGUGCAUGGCCGUCGCCAGUUCGUGCCGUGAGGUGUCCUGUUAAGUCAGGCAACGAUCGAGACCCGCGUCCUCUGUUGCAACUAGCCUAGAGCUGGGCACACUGAGGAGACCGCCGCUGAUAAAGCGGAGGAAGGAGCGGGCCACGGCAGGUCAGUAUGCCCCGAAUCUCCCGGGCCACACGCGAGCUGCAAUGGCAGGUACAAUGGGUUCCGACCUCGUAAGGGGAAGGCAAUCUCGAAAGCCUGCCGUAGUUGGGAUUGAGGGUUGAAACCCACCCUCAUGAACAUGGAAUCCCUAGUAAUCGCGUGUCACUAGCGCGCGGUGAAUACGUCCCUGCUCCU